rnacentral:rRNA from 1 species
GACGAACGCUGGCGGCGCGCCUAACACAUGCAAGUCGAACGGAGCUGAGAGAAGCUUGCUUUUCUUAGCUUAGUGGCGAACGGGUGAGUAACGCGUGAGUAACCUGCUCUGGAGUGGGGGACAACAGUUGGAAACGACUGCUAAUACCGCAUAAGCCCACGAUCCGGCAUCGGAUUGAGGGAAAAGGAUUUAUUCGCUUCAGGAUGGACUCGCGUCCAAUUAGCUAGUUGGUGAGGUAACGGCCCACCAAGGCGACGAUUGGUAGCCGGACUGAGAGGUUGAACGGCCACAUUGGGACUGAGACACGGCCCAGACUCCUACGGGAGGCAGCAGUGGGGGAUAUUGCACAAUGGGGGAAACCCUGAUGCAGCGACGCCGCGUGGAGGAAGAAGGUUUUCGGAUUGUAAACUCCUGUCGUAAGGGACGAUAAUGACGGUACCUAACAAGAAAGCACCGGCUAACUACGUG